rnacentral:lncRNA from 1 species
GCAGCCUCAGGCCAACACCCAGAGAGGGACUGCAGCCAUCGGUCCUGCUGCUGGGGCGUGAGCUCUCGUCUGAGUCAGCCUGGAAGAGACCCCUCUCCAGAGAGGUUGUGAUGACUGCAGAUCUGGCUGUCAUCUGGACAGCAGCCUGAGCGACAGCCUGGGCCACAGGGCCCACGGAGUGGUGGCCAGGCUCCUGAGCCACAGACACGGUGAGUCCUGAAGGCUAAGGACUGAAUCCGGUCCCUCUCAAAUCUGCAUGUUGAAGGCCUACCCUGCACUGUGGUUAUAUUUGGAGAUGUAGCCUUUAGGGAGGUAAUUGAGAUUAAAACUGAGGUCCAAGGGGGAGCCUGAUCUGCUAGGACUGGUGCCCUUGCCAGAGGAGCGAGACGGACACCAGGGCUGCACGUGGAGAGAAAUGUGCAUGAGGACGGUGAGAAGGUGGCCCACGGGAGAGACCGUGAGAGGAAGUGAACCUGCUGAUACCCUCAUCUCGGUUUUCUAGCUUCCAGAAACCUGAGAGAAUAAAUAAACUUCCAGUCCGUGGUGCCCUGUUAUGAUACCCUCAGCUGACUGAUACAAGCUGCUCAGUUUGGGGGUCAUUUGUUACACAGCAAAGGACGACAAAUACAACCAUCAGCCGACACUGCACUCCCAUUCCCUCUGGGCUGGGAGCCGGGUAGAACAAGACCAAAGCCCUGGCCCAUAAGAAUGGAUCUCAGUCCACACGGAAAGACAAACACAGAAGAUGAAGUAAAAGGCUAGGGUGGGAGAAGACCUCAGGACGAAGACACCGCUUGGGGAGACGUGGAUGCAGGAGAGACCACGACACAUCGUCCUGCCCGCUCAGUGCUCCCCCUGGGGACACAGGUUCAGCCUUCUCAGAUACAGCAUCCUCUCCACGUUGUAGCUGAUGCGUGGACGCCGAAAGAGGUUAUGUUGGCUGAGGUCCCGAAGCUCAUCCCGGAGUCGCCAGGAUUCACGGGCAGGUCUGCAAGGGGAGAAGAGAAGAGCUCCUUGGAGGGUGUCAGCUCCUCAGGGGUCAGGCAGAGGGAGAAGCCAGGAGGGACACAGAGGCACCGUGGGAAUGAUAGGAGGAGAUUAAUAUUUCCCCAGAAUCAAAGAUAAGAGCUUUUCUCGGUUGGAAUCGUGUUCGAUGCCCAAGACAGCCGAGACCUCAGGGAUCCGAUCUGCACUGCAGGUGGGACCUACCCCACAGUGGCAACGGCAGAUCCUUCAACCGCUGUGCUGGGCCGGGCAGAGAACCUGUGUCCCGGCGCUGCAGAGACCCGAACGAUCCCAUUGCACCACAGCAGGAACGCCAACAGUAGGAAAACCACCCCAUUUCUCCCAGGUGGCCCCCUCAGGACCUGGAAAAGCUUUUCCCUAAGGGCUCACACCUUCUUUCCUCUGUUCCCCCUCCCCAUGACACAUGCACCUGCAGGCUGAUUCCUUUGCAUGCCCCUUGGGACCUAGCCUAAAUGCGGCCCGGGGACACUCGCUGGCCAACCCGUCAGGGUGGGGAGCGCCUGGGGGCCAGGAUGCAAAGAGGAGUCUCCCGUGCUUAUUUCCUGCAGGAGACAAGCUUGCUGGGUGUUAAGUGGGAAAUUCACCUCAGUGAUCUGUCUUUUCAUCCGUCAGAUGAUUAGCAACAGGCCCUAUGCUCUCAGAUGAAGGGCUCACGGGACCCUGGGAAGCUGCGUUUGUCUCCUUUGGAGAAAGAAGGGCUGAGGGUGGGACUUAGGUGGCAGAGGGUGUGGCCAUAACCUUUCCCCAGAUGGGAUGGGACGGGGGAACCAGAAAGGGAGGGGGCAGUCCAUGUCCUUUUCUUGGAUCAAAAUGGCAAAACAUGGGAUUUCAUUCUUCCCUCCCUUUUCUCCAAAAUCAACGGAUUUUACAGCCUAUUCUCAAUCGAUUCUACUAAACAGAAUGUGCAAAUUAAAAGUGAAAAAGGCAGAGGGCCAGUGACCUGGCUUCGGGUUGAGUCGCCUUUGGUUUCUGCUUUCAGUCUGGAAGUCCUUUACCUCCCAGUAUUCAUCGUAAUGGCUGGUUUCAAAUACGUCUUUCUUUAGUCUCUCAAGGAAAGUGCUCAGCAUUUUUGGUCGUGACUGGGUUGGGCAUCUUGUGGCCUCGGGACUCGUAUCCAGUUGGGGGUGGGGACAACCUGGGUGCCAGCCUGGCCUUGUAGCAGCAGCUCCAUCCUUACCACCUCGUGUGAGGUGUUGAUUUAAUGGGUCCAGGCAGAAAUCGGCCAGAUGAAUAAAAAAUUGAACCAGGAUCAGGGACAAGGCCAAGGAGAAGCAUCUGACAGCACCAGGGGGUCUUAUGAUCCACGAGGAACUUCAAAGCCAUCUGUCAUUACAGGGUAUCAAACUAAUUUUUUCUUUCGUGAACAGGUGUAUAUGUCCUGCAUAACUGGGAGAACUAAAUUUCACCUCUCGUGUUCCCUUUUCAUAGGUACAGCUAAGUAGAUAUUUCGACUGGAUAAGUUGUGGGCACGAGCGGGUAUGAAGAUUAUAAAUUAAUACCGUAAGGUCUGUACCUUAAGUAACAUCUUGCCUAUGGCCCUGCUGAUAGUUAUUUCUUACAGCCGUUCAGGUUAGAGCUUCAAAUAAAGGGGGGAAAUCGAAUGGAUCUGGGUCACGUGGAAUCUGUACAAAGCAAGAGCUAAAGCUUCUCCUGAAAGGAUACAGGAAUCCUGUGACCAGGUGGGGAGUUUGAGGUGGAGCAAAAGAGUCUGUAAUGAAAAGUGAAUUAAAGAACUGGUGCCUCUCCUAAUGACAAAGACCUCGGUAAAGUAGAAAUAUAAGAAGAAUUAGCAAAGUAGGUGAAUUUCUUGACACCUCUGUGUUAUGUGGUCGUCAGCCUGUUCCUCAUUUAUCUGCUUUGAGUUGACAGAGGGCUCUGGCUACACUGAAGAUGGUAGAGAGGCAGCUGUAUUAACAAACUGCCCAUUGCCAGCUGGUGAGGGGCCAUAUUUCCAUAGGUCUAUGUAAUCAGAGGCUACAGAAUUUAAUCAAGAGCGGCAGUAUUUCACGCUUGUGAGGCCAUUACUGUGAAAUAUGGGGGGUUUUUUGUUAAGCACAAGAAAAGACCAGUACUUCCAUUGGAUUUUAAACCAAUACUAUUGAAACCUUUCAGAGAGCUUCCAUGGUCCUUGCACCAUGGUGCUCACCGAAUCCGAAAUCUUCGUCUGAAAUCUGAAAACAUGUUUCCAAUGCAGAUGAAGCUCUCCAUCCUGCAUCCUGCAGAGGCGUCCUGCGGCUCCUGCAGACAGAAGGCAGGCAGAGGACAUGGGGAGAGGGCCAUAGGGUCCUGUUCCAUUUCAAGAAGAGAGAGAGAAACUUCUGUUAUAAUUAUUGUCUUAAGGUAAUUCUUUCUGACUUGUCUUCCAAGCCAAAAUAUCAAGGAGUGAUACUAGACAGUGUGUGGGGCCCAGAAGCCACAUACAAUUGCCAACACCCCGUUUCACUUUCACCCGGCAGCAGAGCUUUCCAGUUUAGGGCCUGAAGCUCACGUCUUUAUGAGGAAGGACACAUAUAUAAGUUCUCUUAAAGAAAGGCACCAGAUAUAUUUGCAUGUGAGAGACUGAUAAUUCCCAUAGCAAAGAGGAAACCAUACCUCAAAAAGAUACAUGCACCCCAGUGUUCAUUGCAGCACAAUUCCCCAUAGCCAAGACAAGGAAACAACUUAAAUGUCCAUCAGCAGAGGACUGGGUAAAGAAGAUGCAGUACAAACACAAUGGAAUAUUACUCAGCCAUAAAGGAACGAAAUAAUGCCAUUUGGAGCAACGUGGAUGGACCCGGAGAUUAUCCUACUGAGUGAAGUAAGCCAGAAAGAGAAAGACAAACACCACAUGAUAUUACUUCUACGUGGAAUAAAAAAAUGAUACCAAUGAACUUAUAUGCA